UGGAAUGUUACAAUGUCCAAACGUGAAACUCUCUGAAAUGAUACAUUGUCCAGACGUGAAACUCUCUGAAAUGGUACAAUGUCCAAACGUGAAAUUAUCUUAAAUGCUACAAUAUCCAAACGUGAAAUUCUCUGAAAUGCUACAAGGUCCAACAUGAAAUGCUAAUUCAAAGAAAGCCUGGUACAAUCUUUCUCAAGAAUAUUAUACGAAUUUUUUCCCUACUUCAAUCCGCCGUUACGUUUUUCACAAAAGAGAAUCAAUUCAGGUAUGUCAAGUAUAUCCCUUAUUUUCUUUUGGCAUGAUCUCUACUACACAAAUAAAACGAGCAAAUGCACAACUUCCAUAUAUGACUCUAUUAAUCGAAGUAUUAGAGGUGCCUAUGUACUUGAAUUACCAUAUGUUUUAUAAUUACAUCUUCUAUUCAUGGGUCUCGGAAAAAUACGUAAGUUGAAAAAGUUUACUUCAUGAUAUUACUCAAAGGCAUAAUGGUCUUAUGACAUUCCGAGAGAUUUUAUUGACGUACUUCUCAUGCAUUGCAAUUAUUUAUACUUGUACAUUGACCCUUCACCAGAUGGAAUUAUAUACGCGUAUAUAUGUACAUUAUAUGUAUAUGGGAUAUGGGAAAAGUUUACGACGUUAUAUACGCACCACCACCUGAUCAGCUGGUAUAUGUUGAUGAUUUUGCCCACAGUGACCGAGAUGGUAUGAUGAGAUGCCCUCAGAGGCCCGAUGAUGUUAUGAAACAUGUACUUAUGCACAACAUGACAUUCAUACACAUAUGCAUGCCACUAUAAUUAUUUCAUGAUUUACAAAGUUAUCCAGAUUUACAGGUUGAGUCAUUUACUCUAUCUUUCUUCCAUGUCUGUUAUGUACUUAUUUAUGUGCCUUACAUACUCGUUACAUUAUUCAUACUGACGUCUCUUUUUCUUGGGGACGCUGUGUUUCAUGCCCGCAGGUCCUAAUAGACAGGUCGAGAGCCCUCCAAGUAGGCUAUUAGCUUAGCGGAAGAUGUUUGUGCG
rnacentral:lncRNA from 1 species